rnacentral:rRNA from 1 species
GUACGGGAGGCAGCAGCUAAGAAUCUUCCGCAAUGGGGGAAACCCUGACGGAGCGACGCCGCGUGGAUGAUGAAGGCCGUAAGGUUGUAAAAUCCUUUUGUUGGCGAAGAAUAAGGCGGGGAGUGGAAAGCCCCGCUGAUGACGUUAGCCGACGAAUAAGCCCCGGCUAAUUACGUGCCAGCAGCCGCGGUAAUACGUAUGGGGCAAGCGUUGUUCGGAGUUAUUGGGCGUAAAGGGCGUGUAGGCGGCUCAUCAAGUCUGGUGUGAAAUCGCAGGGCUUAACCCUGCAUAUGCGCUGGAAACUGGUGGGCUGGAGUUCUUGAGGGGAAGCUGGAAUUCCAGGUGUAGGGGUGAAAUCUGUAGAUAUCUGGAAGAACACCGGUGGCGAAGGCGAGCUUCUAUCAGAGGACUGACGCUGAGGCGCGAAAGCGUGGGGAGCAAACAGGAUUAGAUACCCCGGUAGC